CCUACGGGAGGCAGCAGUAGGGAAUAUUGCUCAAUGGGGGAAACCCUGAAGCAGCAACGCCGCGUGGAGGAUGAAGGUUUUCGGAUUGUAAACCCCUUUUGUUAGAGAAGAUAAUGACGGUAUCUAACGAAUAAUCACCGGCUAACUCCGUGCCAGCAGCCGCGGUAACACGGAGGGUGCAAGCGUUACUCGGAAUCACUGGGCGUAAAGAGGGCGUAGGCGGGAUAGCAAGUCAGAUGUGAAAUCCUAGGGUUUAACCAUAGAACUGCAUUUGAAACUGUUAUUCUGGAGUAAGGGAGAGGUAGGUGGAAUUUGUGGGGUAGGGGUGAAAUGCGUAGAUAUCAAGAAGAACACUGAUUGCGAAGGCAGCCUACUAGAACGUAACUGACGCUGAUGCGCGAAAGCGUGGGUAGCAAACAGGAUUAGAUACCCUUGUAGUC
rnacentral:rRNA from 1 species